UUGGUCAUCAAAAGCAAUGAACUCUGGAUCGUUGAGUUUUUUGCACCUUGGUGUGGACACUGCAAAAAGCUUGCCCCGGAGUGGAAAAAGGCUGCAAAAAAUUUGAAGGGGAAGGUGAAUUUAGGCCAUGUCAAUUGCGAUGUUGAGCAGG